rnacentral:rRNA from 1 species
GAUGAACGCUGGCGGCGUGCCUAAUACAUGCAAGUCGAGCGAACAGAUGAGGAGCUUGCUCCUCUGACGUUAGCGGCGGACGGGUGAGUAACACGUGGAUAACCUACCUAUAAGACUGGGAUAACUUCGGGAAACCGGAGCUAAUACCGGAUAAUAUAUUGAACCGCAUGGUUCAAUAGUGAAAGACGGUUUUGCUGUCACUUAUAGAUGGAUCCGCGCCGCAUUAGCUAGUUGGUAAGGUAACGGCUUACCAAGGCAACGAUGCGUAGCCGACCUGAGAGGGUGAUCGGCCACACUGAAACUGAGACACGGUCCAGACCCCUACGGGAGGCAGCAGUAGGGAAUCUUCCGCAAUGGGCGAAAGCCUGACGGAGCAACGCCGCGGGAGUGAUGAAGGUCUUCGGAUCGUAAAACUCUGUUAUUAGGGAAGAACAAAUGUGUAAGUAACUAUGCACGUCUUGACGGUACCUAAUCAGAAAGCCACGGCUAACUACGU